UACGAAGGGGGCUAGCGUUGUUCGGAUUUACUGGGUCGUAAAGCGCACGUAGGCGGGUCGUUAAGUCGAGGGUGAAAUCCUGGAGCUCAACUCCAGAACUGCCUUCGAUACUGGCGACCUAGAGUCCGGAAGAGGUGAGUGGAACUCCUAGUGUAGAGGUGGAAUUCGUAGAUAUUAGGAAGAACACCAGUGGCGAAGGCGGCUCACUGGUCCGGUACUGACGCUGAUGUGCGAAAGCGUGGGGAGCAAACA
rnacentral:rRNA from 1 species